rnacentral:lncRNA from 1 species
GCUUUCGAGGCGUUUUCCGGCGAAUCCCCGGCGAGUUAGGAGUCGAGGUAGGUAUAAAUCUCUUCGUCUCGUCAAGUACUACAACUUUCCUUUUUGUUUCACUCAAUUUCGUUGAGUAUUGAAGAAGUUAUACUCAUUUGAAAAAUACCCAGUUUCCGGCGACCUCCGAGGCUUUCGAUGAAUUUUCCGGCCAAACCACGGCGAACUAGGUGUUGUGCAAGGUACCAUUCUCUUUGUCUCUUCAAGGGCUACAACUUUCGUUUUUGAAUCACUUGAUUUCGUUGAGAAAUGACAAAGUUAUGGCAAUUUGAAAAACUGCCCGGAAAACGGCCGCCGGAAAAACCAGUCCGGCGACCCAAGGAAGAAGAAGGUGCUACAGUAAAAAUAAAAAAUAAAAAUAAAAUUAUUUUAAAAAUAUGUCGACGUCCGUGACGUCGAGUAGAUCACUGUGGUAUAUUCAUAUACCUAAAUUGAACACCGUAUGAGAAAGUUAUUGAGGAUUGUUGGUUAGGUGUUCAAAUAACGUUUUUAUAGUUUUCACAUUUAGGUGAAAAUGUGAAUUGAUGAUCCGACCGUUGGAUCGUCACCAAACUUUGAUACGUUGUAAUACGUAAUAUUUGAGGAUUAUUGGAACUUACGGAUUGGGAAUCCGAGUUACGGAUCUUCCGGAAUUGGAAUUGUAAGUCCAUAAUAUAAAAUGUUAACCGUCACUUAGUUUUGGAAAUUGACGGAGACCCGACCGUUGGAUGGUAAUGAAAUUUUAGGAUGUUGUCCUAGAGGUAUAAUGUGGACCUCUGGAAGUUAUGGAUUUAAAAUCUGAGUGGCAGAUCUUCCGGAUCGAUCAACGUAGUGACGUAUUUUAUAUAAGUUAUGUAUUCUAUCGAUAUGAAUUCUGAGCCUGGAUUUGAUUACUAUUCUAGGCGGCGAUCGUCAUGACGCCUUGAUGUGUGGUGCUAGGGAGUUGUUGGACGAACUCCAGGUGAGUGGGCAGUUUUGUUUUCCGUAUAUAUAUAUAUACUUGACGUUUCCCAGAAAUUGAAUUGAAAUGAAAAUAUGUUUAAAAUGAAAUGCAUAUGAGUUAUGUGGAAAAACGGGAAGUGAAAUACCAUGCAUAGAAUUGAUAUGAAAAGUAUAUAGAAAUGUGAGUUGAAAUGCCAUGCAUGAAUUAAUAUAUGAUGCAUAUGUAUGAAUUGGUGCGGUGGACGCACAGGUAAGAAUUGAUUUAUGAUGCAUAUGUAUGAAAUGGUGCGGUGGACGCACAGAUGAGUAUUUAAUUACUGUUAUGAUGAUGAUGAUAUAUAUUGAGCUCAAAUCCUGCACCAUGGUUUAGUGCUUAUAGUAUUCACCGCAUCGCACGCUCGCCUUGGAUCCAAGUAGAUGCUAGUCGUACAGUCCACGCGGAGUGGGUACGACAGACCAGUCGCGAGAGUGUUAGUGAGAUUCCGACUGGUGGGUGACCUUAGAUUAUGUGCACAGAUGAUUUAUGAGAAGCACUAGAGCGUAACUUGCGUGCAGAAGGCCGGACGGGUCACAGAGGUGACUCCGGUAGAGUGAUAAUGAUAGAUUUUGAGCUCUAGGUUCAACCGUACAGGGCUAUUAGAGGGCCUACGGUUGAUUACUUUCUUGCACCUGAUAUGAUUAUGUUGAUGCAUUCAUACCUUAUUACUGUUGAGAUGAUGUGGCAUGGCAUAAUUAAUAUGAGAAUGUUGAGAUGAUGUGGCAUGGCAUAAUUGUUAUGAAAAUGUUGAGUUAACGACUUGAAGUCUUGAGAAUAUAUAUGUAUAUUUAUAUUUUACAUUUCUGGGAAAGUAUACAGGUUUUACGGAGAGGGGUUACAACGUUUUGAGAAAUGUUUGGAUUUGGAAAAAGAAUUGUUUUACUGACCCACUCAAUUUUGGUUUUGCGCCCCUCCAGGUUCAGGAAUCACAAAGGUGUGGUGACUACGAGGAAUUCGACGGUGUUCUGACAGAUUGGACAAAAUUAGGACUCACCUUCGGGUGUAUCAACUUAUAAAUUGUAUCUUAAAGCUUCCGUACUGUGCAAAUGGUUACGUCACUCUCACGUGACGGCCAACAUGCCCUCCUUCGGGACGGGGUGUGUCAGUUGGUAUCAGAGCAUGGUUGCAAUCUUGGACAUCUUGAGAAGUCCUAGUGAAUUCUGUCAGAACUACACCGCCUCGUAGCAAGCCACGUAGUUAGAGGAACUUAGUCUCCCUGAUUUAGCGGUUUAGGGGGGAAACUAUUACUAUGGUGAUUCAGUCUAUUGUCUAAAGGGACAUUUUAAGAUGGGUAAUGAGUUGAACUUGAAUCACCUUAUGAAAUGAUGAACCUGAGAGAGCGAAAGUAACGGUUUAACCAUUUUGGAAAAGAUGUUUCAGGUUAUGCAAGUCAAAGGAAAUUUCCUUCUGACAAGGGGUCGAGACGACUACCUGGUUUUGGUUAUGAAUUUGUAUCCUGGUGGAAACAGGAGUAUGAAUUGUUGUCACCAGAGGAAUCAGUCGAUUGAGAAUUGUUUAAGGACUUGUUUAAAGGAAAAGUUUAUCCCUCCGGCAUUUAUCGAUGGUAGUAAACAAGAGUUUACAAAUAUGAGACAAGGAAGGUGAUGAUCGAGGGAUAUUAUAGAAAGUUUUCAGACUUGCCUCGUUCCAUCCAGAUAUGGUUGUUAAUUUGGUGGAGGUGUUAUGUUGUUUUAAGCUGGGUGGCAAAAAGGGAAGUGGUAUUUUGGGUGACCACUAUCCAUUAUACUUCUUACCAGGAAUAUACGAGAUGCUGUUGAGUCUUGAGGACUCUGAGAACAUGAUCAACGAGAAUAAAGAAGAAUAAGAAAUGAAUGGGAAUUUAAAAGAAGACGAUAAAGUUAAUGAUUCGUCUUAUCAAGGAUAUAGAAAGAUUCAGAGCUUCGAAAGAAGUGAAGCUAGAGUUAAUUCUUCCAGCUGAGGUUUUAAUGUCGCUGGUCAGAGUAAAAGUGAUGGAUAUACUGGUAAUCCCAGAUAUUUGAGACAAGGUGUCUCGAGUAAAGGAAAUGUACUUUGUGCAGCAGGUACAAAAUUAACACUUUGGGAAGUGUGAAAUUAAUGCAUGUGUUUAUGUGAACAGAUGGGACACAGAAUUGUGAAUCGUCCCUAGAAUCAGUUGUACUCAACAAUUUUCCAUGAUAUCAUAGUGUCGAUUCAGCAGAGUUAUGGACUUAGUAGUUUGGUCGGAUUGACCGUGAGUACAAAGAGAUUUGAUGAGUAUAUGUUCAGCUGUACAGACCAUGAGAAGUGGAUUCGACUGACACAUGAGAAAUUGGUGAGUUAUAGGCUCGGCCGUACCGACCACGCGGAGUGGAUCCGGCCGACGUACUAUUGAGAUAAGAGUUGAAUCAGUCGUAUUGAUCAUUCUAGUUGACUUCGGCUGAUAUAUUUCUUAUUAUGUAUGUUAUUACCUUGAGAGUAGUAAAUAAAUGUAGUUGAGAUGAGUGUAUGUAUUUUGCAUUGAGUGACAAAAUAGUAAUGUUAUAUCUUUGAGAGUGGUUGCCUACUUAUCGAGACAACGAUGAUUUAUCAGUAUUGCGGGCUGCAGACCGUAAUAUUAAUAACUCAUUCGUGGAUUCGUUAAGCAAGCAAACCGGUAGAUUAUUUUACGUUAGUAUUGUACUUAUUUGGAAUGCUUAAUAAUAAUAGAAUAUAUAUUGUAUCAGUUAAUUCUGUUCCAUUAGAUUGGUUGGUUAUAAUUGUGACAAGACGAAAUGUUAUGGGAAACCAGUACUUUCCAUCGAUCUGGAUGAACAGAGAUUACUUUUGUAAGUAUGCAAAAUGGAUUGAGUCAGGCUGUUAUUUAUGCUGUGAGAGCAAAGAGAUUGUUUUCGAAAGGCUGUCAAAAAUACUUAGCUCAUGUGGUGCUAAAUGAUGUUGUUUGGAGUAGUGUGAAUAAUGUCGAAAGAGUUAGACUUUUCUUGAUGUCUUCCUUGAAAGUAUACCUGGAUUGCCUUCAGGCAGAGAUAUGAGGUUCAUUAUUGAUUUGUUGCCAGGUAUAAAUUUAUAUUGGAGAUUGGUUCAGGAUGAGUUAAGGGAAUUGGAAAUUCAGUUGAGAGAAUUGGUUGAUAAAAGUUUUAUUCAACCUAGUACAACACUUUUGAGGAGCCCAGUUUGUUGGUGAGGAAGAAAAAUGGAUCUUGAGACUGUUCAUUGAUUAUAGACAAUGGAGUCGGGUAACGAUUGAGAACCGUUAUCCAUGGUGAUGUACUGAUGUUUAUUUAACCAGCUCAGAAGUAAAUUGCGAAGAUUCAAAGAUUGAAUUGAGAUCUGGUUACUACCAAUUGAAUAUUUUAAGUGACGUUGAUCAUAAGAUGGUUUUCUGGACUUGUUAUAGUCUUUAUGAAGUUUGGUGAUGCUAUAUGGAUACUCAUGCUGUUUUAUGAGUUGAUGGAUGAAGUAUUCCAAUAAUGCCUUGAUAAAUUGAUAUCAUUUUCAUUGACGAUAUUCUGGUAUACUCUAAGCUAGAGCAGAGCAUGUAAAUGUAUUAAGUCGAUGAAGCAAAGAUUGAGAGAACGUUGGUUGUAUGCUAAGUUUAGCAAAGGCUAAAGUUAAACGAAUCAAGUGGCAUUCUGAGAAUUGUUAUAUAUUCUUAAGGUAUUCAAGUGAAUCCUUAAAAGAUAGCAGAAAUUGAGAAAUUGGAACAACCACAAGCCAUAAUUGAGAUUCGGAAAUUCUUAACUUAUCAGGCUAUUUUGGAUGGUUGUGAAAGAAUUUUUAGUCAUUGUUUUGUCAUUGAUGAGACUGUUGAGAAAGGAGGUUAUGUAUGAGUGGGAAGGAAAUUGUGAGCAAAGGAUUCAACAACUGAAGUAUUUCCUCACUCAUGCACGUAUUUUAGUAAUCCCAGAGAAUAAUGGUAAUCAUAAAUUUUUAGUGAUGUUUCUUGAAUGGUAUUGGAUGCAUGUUGAUGCAAAUGUUAGGGUGAUUGCAUACGUUUCACGAUAAAUGGAACCUCAUGAGAUGAAUUACCCUACGGGUGACUUGGAAGUCAUGAUUACCAUUCUUGCUGUGAAGUUAUGAAGGCAUUAUAUUUGGUAAGAAUGCAAGAUUUUUACGAAUCCAAAAGUCUUCAAUAUCCAUUACUUGGAAGGAUUUUGAUAUGAGGCAGCGAAAGUGAAUUGUAUUGCUUAAUGAACAUGAUUGUACGAUCAGGGUGAUCGUAAAGUUUGUUCUAGCUCAAGCACUUGGCGAGAAGACUACAGUAAGAUUAAUGUCUGGCACGUUUGCCAAGAUUAUCUUCUUGUGGAUUGGAAAUCAACUGAAGUAAAGUUGAGAAUUGGAGAUCGAGAAGAAGCUCUACUUGCUAAUUUUCAAGUUAGGCCUGUUUGGUAAGGUCGUACUCGAGACUCAAAUGGUAUAUGGAUACAAGCAAACGAAAACGUAUGUGCCUAAUGCUGAGGAUUUAAAGCAAGCAAAUUUGGAUGAAGUACAUUGUUUAGCUUCUGCAAUAUUCCGGACGUAAUAAGAUUUAUUAUACCAUCCGACGUUGUAUCGGUCAGCAGAUUGAAGCAGAAAGAGAUAAACCUUUGGAUUGAGAUAAUUAUUUUCUGUUUCGCAGUGGAAACGGAAAGAUAUUACUUUGGAUUAUGUGUACAAGCUUCCUUGUACACAAGAUGGUUAUGAUCGAAUUUGAAGUGAUAGUUGGUCAAUGUACCAAGUUAGUACAAUUACUCCAGUGCUGAGUAAUAACUUUUUCCCAGACAGGGCAACGGUACUUAAUGUAUUUUGUGUUCGAUGCGUUGUCGCUAGGUGGCAGAGUCGUCACAUGAGAUUCUAGUGCAACUAUUGAGAAUUAAAUUGGAUUCGACUUGAUAAGGAACCAAGGACGACUUUGGAUUGGAAAAAAGAAGGUCCUAAGAAUUAAGACAGAGUAAGUAGUAAAAGCUUUGUGAAGGAAAUCAUUCAGUAGAAAAUUACAUGGGAGACAGAAGAACGGAUGAGAGUUAUGUAUCCGAGACUAUUUUAUGAGUUUUGAUGUUCUGGUUGGUGAUUGGAAUUUCGGGGACGAAAUUCUAUAAGGAGGGGAGAUUGUCACAGCCCGUCCCGGAAUUAUUAAUUCCGAGGACGUGAGAUGACCAAUGUGACCUUAAACGGGAUUAAGGUGUGUAAAUGUAUGACAUUUGUUUUACUUUAAGAUCCUAAACUAGGGUUAGAUUUAUAUUUGUAUGUGUUAAUUUGUGCUUGGACUUAGGUAGGGCCUCCUACCCUGAAUUCCCUCCCUAAAACCCGUAACCUUUCUUCUCUCUUCUUCUUUCAUUCCAGACUCUCUCUCUCUCUUAUUCUUUUCUGAAAACUCUCUCAUUCUCUCUCUUACUCUCGAACUCACGGCAACCACCAAGAACCACCACAAUCUUGUACCAACGUUCCAUUUAAGACCACCAUCGUGAUCCUGGGGACUUCACGAGCACGGGGAUACCAAUUUCAGGUGAGUUUCACUUCGAAAACCCUAGUUCUAAAGUUGCCGUGAGAUGACACUGUUCAUGAGCUUUGAAUUGGUUACGUUUUAGGCUAAAACAAGAUCACAGAGAGUUUAUUAAGGUCCCAAGGAAGCUCGGAGUGCUUCGUUGGAAGUUUUUGGACGUAAGAACACGGAGAUCGACAAGUUCAAAGUUUGGCCGGAGCUUUCGAGGCGUUUUCCGGCGAAUCCCCGGCGAGUUAGGAGUCGAGGUAGGUAUAAAUCUCUUCGUCUCGUCAAGUACUACAACUUUCCUUUUUGUUUCACUCAAUUUCGUUGAGUAUUGAAGAAGUUAUACUCAUUUGAAAAAUACCCAGUUUCCGGCGACCUCCGAGGCUUUCGAGGAAUUUUCCGGCCAAACCACGGCGAACUAGGUGUUGUGCAAGGUACCAUUCUCUUUGUCUCUUCAAGGGCUACAACUUUCGUUUUUGAAUCACUUGAUUUCGUUGAGAAAUGACAAAGUUAUGGCAAUUUGAAAAA